rnacentral:misc_RNA from 1 species
UUCGAUGAACUUUAAACGCGAGUAAACAGCCGCUGCGGGCCACGUCGCACGGUCGCACGUGUCGCAAAAUCCAAAAUAAAAAAAAAAACCCAACAAAUUAAAUUGUGUAAAUUAUCGCACAACCGAGGCGAAUUUCGUGAUACGCGGAAAACAUUGUGCGAAAUCGAAAGUGAAACGCAGCGAGCGCCUCAAGCUUAGGCCCAAGAAGGUUCUGCCUCUAAACGAAAUAACGAAAAACUGUAAAAAACAACCUUGAAGGCAGUGUUAACCAAAGAAAAGUAAAUAAAUAAAUAGCAGAGACAAAAACCAUUGCAGAAUAUGUGCGUGUUCGUGUGUGUGCGUGCACAGACCACGCUCAAAUCUUAAUUGCAGACAUUCAGUAUUAAAUAAUUAAAAACUAGCCUUGUGAAGGUUAAACGUGUCACAAUUUCCAAAAUGUUAUCUUAAAUUCCACGGAAAGGCUUAGGCCAUGUUUAGGCAUGUUCCACAAUUCGUUCUGCUAAUUAGGCGAAGCAAAUAAACAAAAUGAAAAUAUACUUGAAUAUCAAGUCAAGUGUCUUAAAUCGCGUGCUUCAAUCGAAGGAAAUUAAUUUGAAUAAAUAUUAAACACCUAAAAAAGUACAAUAAUUGAAAACUUUACUUCAUACAUAACAACAACAACAACAACAAGCACCCGGCAUCGAGGCGCUCGAACUACAUCGCGAGAAACCGAGCGUUCUGAUCACGUCGCCCGGCUCACCGGAUCUGCUGAUUAGUGG